UACGUAGGGGGCGAGCGUUAUCCGGAUUUAUUGGGUGUAAAGGGCGUGUAGGCGGGAGCGCAAGUCAGAUGUGAAAACUCAGGGCUCAACCCUGAGCCUGCAUUUGAAACUGUGUUUCUUGAGUGCUGGAGAGGCAAUCGGAAUUCCGUGUGUAGCGGUGAAAUGCGUAGAUAUACGGAGGAACACCAGUGGCGAAGGCGGAUUGCUGGACAGUAACUGACGCUGAGGCGCGAAAGCGUGGGGAGCAAACAGG
rnacentral:rRNA from 1 species